CGUACACUCCUGCGGGAGGCAGCAGUGGGGAAUAUUGCACAAUGGGCGCAAGCCUGAUGCAGCCAUGCCGCGUGUAUGAAGAAGGCCUUCGGGUUGUAAAGUACUUUCAGCGGGGAGGAAGGCAAUACGGUUAAUAACCGUGUUGAUUGACGUUACCCGCAGAAGAAGCACCGGCUAACUCCGUGCCAGCAGCCGCGGUAAUACGGAGGGUGCAAGCGUUAAUCGGAAUUACUGGGCGUAAAGCGCACGCAGGCGGUCUGUCAAGUCGGAUGUGAAAUCCCCGGGCUCAACCUGGGAACUGCAUUCGAAACUGGCAGGCUUGAGUCUUGUAGAGGGAGGUAGAAUUCCAGGUGUAGCGGUGAAAUGCGUAGAGAUCUGGAGGAAUACCGGUGGCGAAGGCGGCCCCCUGGACAAAGACUGACGCUCAGGUGCGAAAGCGUGGGGAGCAAACAGGAUUAGAUACCCGUGUAGUCCCAUGAU
rnacentral:rRNA from 1 species